ensembl:lncRNA
CAUAGCUGUAAGCACUGCACUGACGUGUUUGCAGAUUGACUGGUGAGCUAAUGCAGGAGGAACCUUCCUUGUUCUUUGAUAACCUGUGUGGUCAGCUUCUGUGUAGGAGCGGUGUGUGCAGGUCCUGGUGUCAUCAGGCAAGGUGUGCUUCUGGAAAGUGAAGACCUGCCCUGGCAGGAGCGUGGGCCUUCACAGGGUGUUUCAGCUUGGUGGUUUUCCUGAAGUUCCAAACGCAGUGCUGCAUGGAGAACAGGAUUCUGCUUGUCUGUGAGGGCUGUGAGCUGCUGUCCUGGCUGCAGAGGCAUUAGAAGAGUUGAAACGAUUCUGCUAAUCUGCAAGGCUUGGAAGUGUUAUGAAGUAUUUCUUUGAUUAAAACCAGACGGACUCUUUAGAUGCUCGGAGAGGACACAAAUGCUGAAGGAGAAAAUGACGCAGGAGGGCAGCAGGCAAGAGGAAGGCAGAGCCCCACGUGGGUAUGACCUGUAAGGCAAAUGCUCACGCAUCUCCUGCAGCAGUCCUCCUCCAGGGCACAGCAUCCUCAAGGCUCAUCUAGCAGGUGGAUUUCCUGCCCUGUGCCAGCAAACCUCGCAUGUUGUGACCAGAGGUGACAGUCUGUGCUGGUGGUCACUGUCCCCAUUGCUCCCAGCCUCCAGUUCCAAGGAUCCCUAGGCUGCACCACCUACUCCUGUGUCAGACCCAGCUGAUCACAGC